UACGGGGGGAGCAAGCGUUGUUCGGAUUUACUGGGCGUAAAGGGCGCGUAGGCGGUCGUGACAAGUCACUUGUGAAAUCUCCGGGCUUAACUCGGAACGGUCAAGUGAUACUGUCGGACUAGAGUACAGAAGGGGCAACUGGAAUUCUCGGUGUAGCGGUGAAAUGCGUAGAUAUCGAGAGGAACACCUGCGGCGAAGGCGGGUUGCUGGGCUGAUACUGACGCUGAGGCGCGAAAGCAUGGGGAGCGAACAGG
rnacentral:rRNA from 1 species